UACGUAGGGGGCUAGCGUUGUCCGGAUUUAUUGGGCGUAAAGAGCGUGUAGGCGGCCAGGUAGGUCUGGUGUGAAAACUCGAGGCUUAACCUCGAGAUGUCAUCGGAAACCAUCCGGCUAGAGUCCGGAAGAGGAGAGUGGAAUUCCUGGUGUAGCGGUGAAAUGCGCAGAUAUCAGGAAGAACACCAAUGGCGAAAGCAGCUCUCUGGGACGGUACUGACGCUGAGACGCGAAAGCGUGGGGAGCGAACAGG
rnacentral:rRNA from 1 species